rnacentral:rRNA from 1 species
AACGAACGCUGGCGGCAGGCUUAACACAUGCAAGUCGAACGCCCCGCAAGGGGAGUGGCAGACGGGUGAGUAACGCGUGGGAAUCUACCGCACCCUACGGAACAACAGUUGGAAACGACUGCUAAUACCGUAUACGCCCUUAGGGGGAAAGAUUUAUCGGGGUAUGAUGAGCCCGCGUUGGAUUAGCUAGUUGGUGGGGUAAAGGCCUACCAAGGCGACGAUCCAUAGCUGGUCUGAGAGGAUGAUCAGCCACAUUGGGACUGAGACACGGCCCAAACUCCUACGGGAGGCAGCAGUGGGGAAUAUUGGACAAUGGGCGCAAGCCUGAUCCAGCCAUGCCGCGUGAGUGAUGAAGGUCUUAGGAUUGUAAAGCUCUUUCACCGAUGAAGAUAAUGACGGUAGUCGGAGAAGAAGCCCCGGCUAACCUCGUGCCAGCCGCCGCGGUAA